rnacentral:lncRNA from 1 species
ACUCACAAAUACAAUAAAAAUAUCAGCCAGCAUAAUGUCUGCUGAUAUAAAAGCCUAUAUACCUCAAUAUAUUGGCCAAUAUGAUAUCAGUCUCCCUGCCAAGAUUGAGUUUUCGACAUAAACAUGAUGUGGUUUCCUUGUCAAAUGACAAACAUCUUAAUUAUAUUUUAAGAGGUCAGAUCAUCCACAACCUUCAACCACCUCUCCAAAAGGCAAAGUCGUCAUCCUCACUAAGUCAUCCAAACUCAAAUCAAACCUAACCUUAAAUGGAGAAAGUUCUGCCCGAGAACUUUGGCAUCAGAUGAGGGAUAAGGAUCUUUGACCCCAUCCACCAAAGAUAUCAAAGGCACUGCUUCAGCGCUUUAGAACAUAGAUAACAUCCAUGGCAAUGUUAUGGAGGAAUUCCUUGAAAAAGUCAUAGAUCAUGUCCAUGAUUCACUCCAUCAUGAUCUUGUGGCCUUUAACUCACAGAUUAGAUCCCAGUUGCCAGAAUAGGGAGCAAGCGAGGUUAUGGGAAGAGAACAUUUCUUCUUGAAGCACUAACCAGGAGCUGUACAAGAUUCCUGGAAGUUUUUGAAGCAUACGCUAGGUAUAAGAUUCCUAACUUUGAGGAUCAUAUUGCUAGGACACUUUGUUUGCUCUCUCAGACAGCAGCCAUCGGAUGAAUGAUUUAAUACAUCGCUGUCAAAUAGCUUAGGCAACCCUAUAUGAUGG